rnacentral:lncRNA from 1 species
GCACAUUCAUUAAUGAAAAACCCUAAUAGUUUAACAGUUUCACAAAUUAGUCCCCGUGCUAACUAGAUUAAGCUACAACGAACCUGAAAACAUAGAUAUCAUUUAAAACGGGACAAAAAUACAUACCAAUCAAGAAAAAAUGAAGAUGGUCGAACCCUAGAUUAGGAGAACAAUGAAUUUUCGGUGGUGGCUUAAUGAAAUGAAGAACAUGAAUGCCUUUUACUUAUUUUAAUUAUCAUUUAAUUACUAAAUUACUAUUAUAACCUUUAAAAGCAUUAAAAUUUACACAAAUGUCAAGC